CCUACGGGAGGCUGCAGUGGGGAAUAUUGGACAAUGGGGGGAACCCUGAUCCAGCCAUGCCGCGUGUGUGAAGAAGGCCCUCGGGUUGUAAAGCACUUUCAGUGAGGAAGAACGCCUGGUGGUUAAUACCCAUCAGGAAAGACAUCACUCACAGAAGAAGCACCGGCUAACUCCGUGCCAGCAGCCGCGGUAACACGGAGGGUGCGAGCGUUAAUCGGAAUUACUGGGCGUAAAGCGCGCGUAGGUGGCUUGAUAAGCCGGUUGUGAAAGCCCCGGGCUCAACCUGGGAACGGCAUCCGGAACUGUCAAGCUAGAGUGCAGGAGAGGAAGGUAGAAUUCCCGGUGUAGCGGUGAAAUGCGUAGAGAUCGGGAGGAAUACCAGUGGCGAAGGCGGCCUUCUGGACUGACACUGACACUGAGGUGCGAAAGCGUGGGUAGCAAACAGGAUUAGAUACCCUUGUAGUC
rnacentral:rRNA from 1 species